rnacentral:lncRNA from 1 species
UUAUCCCUGGGCUUAGUGGAAUUCAAAUACCUGACCAUAGGACACCAAGGGCUUUGGGACCUGAAAGGCACAUCAUGUCCUGGUGACAUCUGAGUUACCUGGGGCAUGCACAGCCAGCCUCCAGCAUCCCAGGGAGAGCUGUGUAUGGGGUCAGGCUCAAGCAGGUCCCAGGGCACCAGUGACCCAAUGGGUGACUCAGACUCCCAUGGCACCUGCUCCUUCUGUUUCUCCCUCCACCAUAUAUAUGAGCUCAUGGGAAACACUGUGUGACCUCUUACAGAGGAGGAAAGUGCAUGGACUUCCAGUUUCUAGAACUGUGAUACAAUAAACUCCUGUUGCUUAUCUACUCCUCUACAGUAUUUUGUCAUGGCAGCCCUAGCAAACUACUACAGGGACUGUGAGGGUUAAGAUGACACCAAACAUCAAAUGCCACUCCCUGUUCCAACACUGAGACCAUUCCACAGCCUCUGAAUGACAAGACAGGCCUUCAAAAUCAAGACCACCUGGCUAGAUUCUGGAUAUUAGCCUUCUGUCAGAUGGAUAGAUUAAAGCUUGCAAGCUGAAACUCAACAACUUAUGUAAACUUCUGGAGAAAUCACAGCAACUUACAUAUAAACAACCCUUGUGCCUGCUGAUGUGUGGACUACAGAAAAGGUACACAUGAACACUGUAUUCAGACUGCAAUUUAGAGAAAUGUGUCAGAUUACCACUGCAAUUGGAAGAUGCUUCAGAAACUCUAGAAAACCUAGUCUAUAGACUGCUCCAGACAUUACAGGGUUCACUCUCAAGCUCUGGCUCAAUAAAACUCAAUUGGUCAAGACCCUUGCCUCAGUCAGUCUUUCUGGAUAUCCACCAUGAGUCCUGCAAAGCCCUUCAGUAAUCUAUUGCCUGCCUAGGUGAUGUGUACCCAGGUGAGUCAGGUCUUCAUGAGUCAAACACUCGUCUUCCUUUUCUGUCUUUCCCAACCCUACCACUCAGUGCUGUGUGCUCUGAUCUGACCCCAGCUCCCAGGUUGUUUGUAUUGGUCUAAGAAAGCAAGACCAGGAGGGGCAGGUUGAGAAGGAAGUAAGAGGCCAACAGCCAUGGAAAGUGGCACGUGGGGCUGUCAUUCCUCAAAACCACAUACCCUGGGUGCAUUUUGUGAAUUUUUCUGGAUUCAGAAUCUUUUCCCUGUGUGUCUAUCUAGAAAAUCACCCUCCUCCUACUUUCCUCUCAUUACACUUUCUGUUUCUGGUGCAAUCGUUUAUGUCCAGAGAAUGGCCAUGCAAAUAGUUGACAAUAGAAUAAAAAAUGACUUUUUGUGAGAUUUGGAACCUGGCCUUUCUUUUUUCCAAAAGAGAUUGAGGUUUCUAAAAGCUAGCUUUUAUGCAGGGCUGUGCAGUUGUGAGUGUAGUUUUAGGGAACAGGUGCAUAAGUGAAGGGUGAGACAGAAAACAAAAUGCUGGCUGUUUGUCAAAUCCUGAAAAUAAUUUUUGAAGGUGGAUGUCAUUCAGGAGACCUUGUAAAUCUUAGAGUGUCCUCUUACCAGAUGAAGUGGAGGAUGAGGUUGAAUUAUGGAGUUAGGUGACAGUGGGUACAUACUUCUCUGCCUCAGUUUUUUUUUUUAAUCUGUAAAAAUGGGGAUGGAGGCACUUGGGAUUUUUUGUGAGGAGUGUAGUUACCUGGAAAGCUCUUACGAUAGUGCCUCGUGCAUAGUGAGUGCUGCAUUAGUGUGAGCUAUUAUAAUUAUGGGAAUAGACAAAGGUGCCACCCUGGCCAUCCAGAGUGGGGAGGUAUUUUCCAGUCAGGGUCCAGGCAGGCCAGCUGGAGAUGAAGCUGAUUAGUGGGGAAGCUUAACUUCCAGGAGUGGAAGAAUUUAGGAGGAGUAAACAGAAUGCACAACAUUCUGUAAACAUGCCUUUACCCAACAGUAGGAAUACUCAGAGUGGGUGUGUCUUCCGUGGCAAUCAUUAUCUCCUGGGAAUCUAAGAAUGUGUCCUAGAGUCAAAUGGCUUUGAUGUAAGCCAAACCCAGAAAUGGACUUCAGGGCUGCCUGGCACAUAGCAUUCAUUCAUCUUGAAAAAGGAAAGCAUUCAUCUUGCUAAAGGAAUCCCCUCUUCUGGCCCAGGCCAUUAUUUUUGUUUUUGUACUAUCCUAAUUUUUAAGAUGUAAGGAGAAAGACC